GCAUAGCUGAGGAGUCCAACAGUAGGACGAAACGGCCGUCUAGUAC
rfam:Schistosoma curassoni strain Dakar, Senegal genome assembly, scaffold: SCTD_scaffold0006483